ensembl:snRNA U6 U6 spliceosomal RNA
UUGCUUUUACUUAGUCCAUCAGCACACAUACUGAAAUUAGAACAACAUAGAGAUUAGCAUGGCCCCUGCACAAGGAUGAUAUGCAAACUUUGAAGUGUUAUAUACAUUA